CUGACCGUGUCCCUUAAAGAAAGUCACCACCCCGUUGAAGCCAUGAUUUUCUAUCUUCAUUCCGCAGGCCCUCAUUCACCACGAGAUUAACUCGGCUGGUUGCAGUGAGAAGGGACAGAGCAGGCUCUGAUAAGAGGCCCGAGAUGGAAGAGAGCCCCAAACCAGUCUACCUGCUUAAGGAAGAUUCUCUCUGUGAUUGCUACUCUGAGACCCCAUGGUCCUAACGGACACUUCUGUUAUAGAUAACAGGUGUUUGGAGAGAGGACGAAAUCUGUGUGUAUGGGCAUACAGAGAGAUAUUCCAGAAGUCGAGGAGACCAAGCUUGCCAGCUAACAACGAGCUUAUUAUCUUCCAUUUCCCUUGGAUGAGACUAACAACCAGGCUCAGAGGCCAACUGAAUGGCAGACAGUCCCCAGGAUACCCUCCUGGUGAUAAAGGGUGGUGGAAGAUAAGCCACCAAUCGCAGCCCUCAUUUAAAAAAACGAAAUCUUGGCAUUCUAGAGAAGGCAACCUUGCAUAGGAGUGAACCUUGCUUCCCGUCACUAGCCUUCCUGGCUCCAUGUCGGUGUGUGUGCUGCAUACACAGGGUACAUCGAUGCAAGGAAAGUGGAAGAGAGAAAAAGAACACUUGCUAGUGGGGAGGGGGGGAGAAACUGAGCCAGGGAGGGGGGAGGAAACGUUUCUCAAGCUCAUAAGCAUCCACUGGAGAAAUCUCAAGGUCCCCGGAAUCACUCUUCCAGAUUGUGACCAAAGGCAAUAUAGAGUGCCACGAUCCUUUCUUCAUACAGAAACACUUAAGACGCAUCACCCUGAACGUGGGGGAGAAUAGGUCCCGAGAAACUAGAAGACGCUGGAACAGUAGCCCAGAGCGCUAUGAACUCAUGAAAAAUUAAUUCAAUCCUCAAAGUCAGUGUUGGUUAAGGGCUGUAGCUCCCCUUUGCAUUAUUAAAAGCACUGCUUUGUACCGACCAAUUAAUUUCAAAGGACCCACUCUUUGCAUUAGAAGCUAUCAAAGACAGAUGUCCUGAAAGGAUCCCCUCUAUCAAAGCUGGCAUGCCUCUGUUCUCCCAGAGUUAUUGAGAUUCUUAU